rnacentral:rRNA from 1 species
CCGCUGGUGUACCAGUUGUUCCGCCAGGAGCAUAGCUGGGUAGCUACGUAUGGAAGGGAUAAGUGCUGAAAGCAUCUAAGCAUGAAGCCCCCCUCAAGAUGAGAUUUCCCUUGGAGUUAAUCCAGUAAGACCCCUUAGAGAUGAUGAGGUUGAUAGGUCUCGGGUGGAAGCACGGUGACGUGUGGAGCUGAGAGAUACUAAUCGGUCGAGGACUUAUCCUAAA